rnacentral:pre_miRNA from 1 species
AGUCCAUCAUCGGGUUGCUAGCUGUCAUAGGAGGCCAGCUGCCCAGUGAAGGGCUGU